rnacentral:rRNA from 1 species
GACAGAGGGUGCAAACGUUGCUCGGAAUCACUGGGCGUAAAGGGCGUGUAGGCGGGAAGGAAAGUCAGAUGUGAAAUCCCCAGGCUCAACCUGGGAACUGCAUUUGAAACUCCCUUUCUUGAGUAUCGGAGAGGAAAGCGGAAUUCCUGGUGUAGAGGUGAAAUUCGUAGAUAUCAGGAGGAACACCAGCGGCGAAGGCGGCUUUCUGGUCUGUAACUGACGCUGAGGUGCGAAAGCGUGGGGGAGCAAACAGG